CUUGAGACAGUUUUAUUUGGAGCCUAGAUUUAGCAGGACUUACCAACCGCUUAGAGCAAAGGUUGCAGAUUCGCCAAAGGAAAAAUAAAAUUAAAUUAAAAGUGGAAUAGAAACAUUUCAUUGAAAUUCUAGCACACAAGAAACUCUUAGAUCAGUGAGCUGUAUAUACCAUUCCUUGCCACUCGAGGAGGAAAAAAUAAAAUAAAAA